CACAAAAGUGUUUAAAUAAAAUCCAUAAAAAACGUUAUGGACCAAAUACACAGGUUUUCACUCAAAAUUUCACGAUACAUGGCCCCAUUCAUUCUUUCCUUUACACGGAUCACUUGGGGACACCAAGUGAAUGACGCAGUGCCAGACAUGUCCCCCAGUACAUGUCCAGGCCCGUCUGAAGUUUGCUAGAGAACAUUAGGAUGAUCCAGAAGAGGAUUGGGAGAAUGUCAUAUGGUCAGAUGAAACCACAAUAGAACUUUUUGUUAAAAAUAAUUUGUUGUGUUUGGA